UCUUUCAAGAUUAUGUGGUAGGUGGUGCAUGGCCGUUCUUAGUUCGUGAAGUGAUUCGUUCGCCCAAUCGCAUUUCCAAACAACUAACAACUCAGAAUGCUGGGCAAUAGGACGUUUAAAGUGGCUCCUUACACCUUACAAAGGAAUGGCUGAUGAGAAACAACUCGAUCCGCUCAGCGUUCUAUUGGAAUGCAACGGACGUGAUUGCAAGCUUUUGUUUUGAGUUGCGGUUUUACUGAAAGACUCUACAAUCCGCAAACUUCAAUGAUCUGAAGUAGAAAACCUACAUG
rnacentral:rRNA from 1 species